rnacentral:rRNA from 1 species
GACGAACGCUGGCGGCGUGCUUAACACAUGCAAGUCGAACGGAAAGGCCCUGCUUUUGUGGGGUGCUCGAGUGGCGAACGGGUGAGUAACACGUGAGUAACCUGCCCUUGACUUUGGGAUAACUUCAGGAAACUGGGGCUAAUACCGGAUAGGAGCUCCUGCUGCAUGGUGGGGGUUGGAAAGUUUCGGCGGUUGGGGAUGGACUCGCGGCUUAUCAGCUUGUUGGUGGGGUAGUGGCUUACCAAGGCUUUGACGGGUAGCCGGCCUGAGAGGGUGACCGGGCACAUUGGGACUGAGGUACGGCCCAGACUCCUACGGGAGGCAGCAGUGGGGAAUAUUGCACAAUGGGCGGAAGCCUGAUGCAGCAACGCCGCGUGCGGGAUGACGGCCUUCGGGGUGUAAACCGCUUUCGCCUGUGACGAAGCGUGAGUGACGGUAAUGGGUAAAGAAGCACCGGCUAACUACGUG